GAUGAACGCUAGCGGCAGGCUUAAUACAUGCAAGUCGUGGGGCAGCAUGAGUAGCAAUACUUGAUGGCGACCGGCAAACGGGUGCGCAACACGUACACAACCUUCCGAUAAGUGGGGAAUAGCCCAGAGAAAUUUGGAUUAAUACCCCGUAACAUAUAGAGUAGGCAUCUUCUUUAUAUUAUAGCUUCGGCGCUUAUUGAUGGGUGUGCGUCUGAUUAGGUAGUUGGCGGGGUAACGGCCCACCAAGCCUACGAUCAGUAGCUGAUGUGAGAGCAUGAUCAGGCACACAGGCACUGAGAACCGGGCCCGACUCCUACGGGAGGCAGCAGUAAGGAAUAUUGGAAAAUGGGCGAAAGCCUGAUCCAGCCAUGCCGCGUGAAGGAUUAAGGUCCUCUGGAUUGUAAACUUCUUUUAUUUGGGACGAAAAAAGGGAAUUCUUUCCACUUGACGGUACCAAGUGAAUAAGCACCGGCUAACUCCGUGCCAGCAGCCGCCGUAA
rnacentral:rRNA from 1 species